GAUACCAUUCUUCCCCCUCUAUCUACUGCUAACACUCACGCACGCUGGAGCUGGGAGCUCCUCUCGACCGUGACCGAGCGCGUCCGUCGGGCGAGAGCGAGACCCCAUGUGCCAGCAGCGCGGGCCGCGGCGGCAGAGGCAGGCGGCAGGCCACCACCGUGGGGUGGGUGUGGGUCGCCGGUCGCAAAGUGCCGCAGCUUUUGCCAAAAAGCCCUCUGCCGACCUUGUCCCGUGUCGGGUUCGAACAGAGGAGAUGGUGGAUGCUGUGAACUUGUGAUAAGCUGCCAAGUCCGCUGUUUUUUACAGUCAUGAAGGGCUAUUUUAUCCAAAUCAAAUGCUCCAAAUGGGACGAUGUUUGUGCCUGCCCCGUACACCUGCAACUGCAAUGGCACUGUCGUAGUAUUCCUGAAUGAAUACACUGUAUCACACACUGUAUAUAUCGACAGGCUGUUUAAAGCGUAGCAGAAAAUGUACUUGCUGCCCUUGAUGUCAGGUCCUUACGUCCCGUUUCUCCUAAAGCUUGUCUGUAAUCUGUUUUUGUUGUUUUGUCCAUGCUUGUUUGGACUUUGGACAACUGUAGCUUGACCCAACCAAAUUUUUAUGAACGUUUGUACAUCCUAAUUCACAGUACUGCAGCUAAAAGGUGAAGUAACUUAUACGAAAUUCAACAC